rnacentral:rRNA from 1 species
GAUGAACGCUGGCGGCGUGCCUAAUACAUGCAAGUCGAGCGAACAGAUGAGGAGCUUGCUCCUCUGACGUUAGCGGCGGACGGGUGAGUAACACGUGGAUAACCUACCUAUAAGACUGGGAUAACUUCGGGAAACCGGAGCUAAUACCGGAUAAUAUAUUGAACCGCAUGGUUCAAUAGUGAAAGACGGUUUUGCUGUCACUUGUAGAUGGAUCCGCGCCGCAUUAGCUAGUUGGUAAGGUAACGGCUUACCAAGGCGACGAUGCGUAGCCGACCUGAGAGGGUGAUCGGCCACACUGGAACUGAGACACGGUCCAGACUCCUACGGGAGGCAGCAGUAGGGAAUCUUCCGCAAUGGGCGAAAGCCUGACGGAGCAACGCCGCGUGAGUGAUGAAGGUCUUCGGAUCGUAAAACUCUGUUAUUAGGGAAGAACAAAUGUGUAAGUAACUAUGCACGUCUUGACGGUACCUAAUCAGAAAGCCACGGCUAACUACGUG